rnacentral:rRNA from 1 species
GUAGGUGGCAAGCGUUGUCCGGAAUUAUUGGGCGUAAAGCGCGCGCAGGCGGUUCUUUAAGUCUGAUGUGAAAGCCCACGGCUCAACCGUGGAGGGUCAUUGGAAACUGGAGAACUUGAGUACAGAAGAGGAAAGCGGAAUUCCACGUGUAGCGGUGAAAUGCGUAGAGAUGUGGAGGAACACCAGUGGCGAAGGCGGCUUUCUGGUCUGUAACUGACGCUGAGGCGCGAAAGCGUGGGGGAGCAAACAGGAUUAGAUACCCUGGUAGUCCACGCCGUAAACGAUGAGUGCUAAGUGUUAGGGGGUUUUCGCCCCUUAGUGCUGCAGCUAACGCAUUAAGCACUCCGCCCUGGGGAGUACGGCCGCAAGGCUG